rnacentral:rRNA from 1 species
UUGAAGCGUGGACGCCAGUCUGCGUGGAGCCAACCUUGAAAUACCACCCUUUAAUGUUUGAUGUUCUAACGUUGGCCCCUUACCGGGGUUGCGGACAGUGUCUGGUGGGUAGUUUGACUGGGGCGGUCUCCUCCCAAAGCGUAACGGAGGAGCACGAAGGUUAGCUAAUCCUGGUCGGACAUCAGGAGGUUAGUGCAAUGGCAUAAGCUAGCUUGACUGCGAGCGUGACGGCGCGAGCAGGUGCGAAAGCAGGUCAUAGUGAUCCGGUGGUUCUGAAUGGAAGGGCCAUCGCUCAACGGAUAAAAGGUACUCCGGGGAUAACAGGCUGAUACCGCCCAAGAGUUCAUAUCGACGGCGGUGUUUGGCACCUCGAUGUCGGCUCAUCACAUCCUGGGGCUGAAGUAGGUCCCAAGGGUAUGGCUGUUCGCCAUUUAAAGUGGUACGCGAGCUGGGUUUAGAACGUCGUGAGACAGUUCGGUCCCUAUCUGCCGUGGGCGCUGGAGAAUUGAGGGGGGCUGCUCCUAGUACGAGAGGACCGGAGUGGACGCAUCACUGGUGUUCGGGUUGUCAUGCCAAUGGCACUGCCCGGUAGCUAAAUGCGGAAGAGAUAAGUGCUGAAAGCAUCUAAGCACGAAACUUGCCCCGAGAUGAGUUCUCCCUGAGACUUUAAGUCUCCUGAAGGAACGUUGAAGACGACGACGUUGAUAGGCCGGGUGUGUAAGCGCAGCGAUGCGUUGAGCUAACCGGUACUAAUGAACCGUGAGGCUUAACCUU